GGCCGUGUGGCGAAAUGGCAUCGCGUCUGACUACGACUUGCGACAGCAUCCUUAUCAGGAGAUUGUAGGUUCGACCCCUACCUCGGUCA